UGGCCAGACUCCUACGGGAGGCAGCAGUGAGGAAUAUUGGUCAAUGGCCGAAGGGCUGAACCAGCCAAGCCGCGUGAAGGAAUAAGGCCCUACGGGUCGUAAACUUCUUUAGUCAGGGAACAAAGGGUGCCACGCGUGGCGCUGUGAGUGUACCUGAAGAAUAAGCAUCGGCUAACUCCGUGCCAGCAGCCGCGGUAAUACGGAGGAUGCGAGCGUUAUCCGGAUUUAUUGGGUUUAAAGGGUGCGUAGGCGGUUUGUCAAGUCAGCGGUAAAAGCCCGGGGCUCAACCCCAGCGAGCCGUUGAAACUGGCUGUCUUGAGAUGUCGAGAGGUAUGCGGAAUGCGCAGUGUAGCGGUGAAAUGCUUAGAUAUUGCGCAGAACUCCGAUUGCGAAGGCAGCAUACCGGCGGCGAUCUGACGCUGAGGCACGAAAGCGUGGGUAUCGAACAGGAUUAGAUACCCCAGUA
rnacentral:rRNA from 1 species